rnacentral:rRNA from 1 species
ACUCCUGCGGGAGGCAGCAGUGGGGAAUAUUGGACAAUGGGCGCAAGCCUGAUCCAGCCAUGCCGCGUGAGUGAUGAAGGCCCUAGGGUUGUAAAGCUCUUUCACCGGUGAAGAUAAUGACGGUAACCGGAGAAGAAGCCCCGGCUAACUUCGUGCCAGCAGCCGCGGUAAUACGAAGGGGGCUAGCGUUGUUCGGAUUUACUGGGCGUAAAGCGCACGUAGGCGGACUAUUAAGUCAGGGGUGAAAUCCCGGGGCUCAACCCCGGAACUGCCUUUGAUACUGGUAGUCUUGAGUUCGGGAGAGGUGAGUGGAAUUCCGAGUGUAGAGGUGAAAUUCGUAGAUAUUCGGAGGAACACCAGUGGCGAAGGCGGCUCACUGGCUCGAUACUGACGCUGAGGUGCGAAAGCGUGGGGAGCAAACAGGAUUAGAAACCCUGGUAGUCCCA